CCGGGGUCCCGCCCGCCGGCUGAGAGGGGAAGGCAAGAGAGAUGCGGAGGCUGCGCCCGGCCCGCGGAGCCCACCGGCCGUCCCCUCCAGGCGUUGCCAGAAUGCAGAACUCUGGGAACAAAAGAAACCCCAAGCCCGUACGUGCUCUUUGCUGUCCAAUUUAGCCCAGUGGCAGAGGAGUUAAAAUGCCGAUGAGGCUGCUCACUCUCCGCAGGGACAGGGCUAGAGCAGAGAGGAGGAGAAGAAACAGGGCCGAGGUUCGCCGCGUCCGCAGCUCAGCCAAGCUGUUGUUUUAAAAGAGCAAUAAAAAUGACUUAUGACUAAACGCCUUCUCACUUAAUGGUUUUAGACGGGGAUCCCCAGCCCCGGCAAAUACGUAAGAGGAUUUUUAUUUGUGCAUGUGUUCCUGCAAUUGAUCUCUUUGAUGACAUUCUCAUUCAUAGAAAGAGUUUGAUUUAUGACUUUCGGAAGAACUGCGUUCAGCCCUUCCAGCUAUAACCCACGCAUUCCAGCUCCACAACGUGUUGCAGGGCUGGGAGAGAGCACUCCUCGCACGGACGGACAGCAGAGCCCCGGCCACAAACCUCACUAGCCCAUGUAAUGUAAUCACAAGCGCACACACACACAGGGAGACGCGAUCGUACCCGCCCGAGAUCCCCCAGCCCCGGAGCGGCAGAGCCUUGUUGGCAUCUGUUGCUCAGUUUUAGCCCGAAGGACGGGGCUCACCCUGCGUUUUGGAGUCCGCUGGCCGGGUGGCAGGCAAUUUGGUGGAGGUUUCUGAAAGCCCAUCUUUGCUGCUGCCAGCAGAGAGGGGGGAGUCCCUAAGAAAUUGCAACUUUAGAGUCAGAGUUUCUCCUUUUCGUUAUCAGUCCUUUGCCACGCAAGAAGGUUUAAACAGAAAAAACGUACCUUCUGUUGUGUCCCUGCACUGCUCAUCAAAAGGACGGGUGAAGGGGCUGAUUCCUCCCUACGUUUUUUAUCCUGUGUUUCUGCCACCCUUUUGAUUUUACAGGCACUAACUUCUCCAUUUCCUCUCCUUCUAGGGCUGAUUUCUUGGACCGCUCAGCACGUGAGAAGUAAUCAAGCCCCUUCUCUGUGAGGUCUGAUAUUUUCUAAGAUGUUUCCUGAAACAGCUUGCUGGCUGCUAAACACUAAUUUCUAGAAAAACAGGAUUACCCCUCCC